rnacentral:rRNA from 1 species
AGAAUCAACGCUGGCGGCGUGCCUAACACAUGCAAGUCGAGCGCGAAAGGGGAGCAAUCCCCAAGUAGAGCGGCGAACGGGUGAGUAACGCGUGGGUAAUCUACCUCUGAGUGGGGAAUAACAGCGGGAAACUGCUGCUAAUACCGCAUGACAUCGUCUAGCCUUCGGGUCUGACGAUCAAAGCCGGGACCGCAAGGCCUGGCGCUUGGAGACGAGCCCGCGUCCGAUUAGCUAGUUGGCGGGGUAAUGGCCCACCAAGGCUUCGAUCGGUA